GAGAGUUCUCUGUUUUUCUUUCCUUCUCUGUUAUGCAAGCUUCGUUCUUAUCGGCAGUGGACUUGCCUCCUCACCGCCAGCUGUACAUCUCUUCUGUUACUUCAUGUGGGUGUUCGUUUCUGUCAGGAUGGAGUAGCUGAAUCCCUCUCUCGUUUUUGCUCUAUUUCAUGGCUGUUAGAGAAAGAAACACGCUGAACCAGAGAAGAAAGCUUUCGAACUUCCACCGUUUCCUCCGUCUCUUCCCUCUCUUCCUCCGCCAUUUUCGAACAUUGCUGGCAUGCGUGAGCAUGAAAGUUGUAGCUGUUGAUGCACAAAACGUAGAGUAUGAUUUUUUUCCUCUCUUCCUUGCUUUGAGUUGCUGUUAAUCGCUGCUUGGGGGUGUUUUGUCACACCUAAAAUCUUGCUGCUAUCAGAGGAGAGAUGAACAGGUCAUGGGUGGUCUGAACAUCCUUGUUCUUUCUCUCUUUGUGCAUCACCGUAGGUAUUACUAUGCUCCUUUUGCUUCUGAUCCUAAAGAUUAGCUAAUAUGGAAAUAACCUCUUUUUUGGAGAAAUUUAAGCCAUUUGAUCUACUUAUGGGGACCUUGCUUCAAGAAUCUAUUGUCUGUAGAUUUUUGAAAACCGUUGAUAUCGAAGUCCCUGAUCUACGUACAGCAUGAAGACAAUAUAGGUCCGAGAUAUGGAAUGGAUAGCAGUGUGAUGAAGGAGGAAGAAACCGAUACACCCACAGCUACUCACGAGCAAACGGCUUCACUGAACUAGGAAGAAGAGGCCGUCACACGAAUAGAAGAAGGAGAGGAACCAGUAGUUAAACGGUGACUAGCCACGGUGGAGGAACGAUGAUGCGAAGGAAGAAGAAAGUUCCCACGCACCCACAACAACUUCUCGGACAGAGAACAAGAGGACGAUGGCGAAAUAGGGACGAGGAAGAACAUCGCGAUUUGGAUCUGUAACAGCGGCAAACGGAGCUCUUGCACACAGCCAUGCCGGUGACAGGUUAAAGACAGUGGAGGAAGGAGGAAGAAGAUGAAGGGAGAGGGAGAAGGGAAGGUGCACGCCAGAUCAGGUUUGACUGAACGCCGACUCAUGUAUUGACUACGUUCUAGUUCAGAGAUGGAGGCCAAACUUUGACCCAUGGAAUGCUAAUAAACACCAGAAAAUAGCUACAUGGGUUCGCAUACGUAACGUGUCGGUGGAAUUCUACAAUCAUGAAUCAAUGUGGUGUCUUGGCUCUAUGAUAGGGCGAACGCUUAAGGUGGAUCUGGUAACGUUAAUGAGAUCCAGGGGUCGUUUCGCGAGGGAAAUCAUCAGGAUGCAACAGAUAAUGCUUAUAAUCUAAGGAAAUAUUUGCAUAGGUCAUAUACUCAUGUAUUGGAUAUUUUCAUUUUACUUUUUUUCUUAUAUCCACCUUAUUUGCAUGACAUGUGUAAUCAU